AUUGGAAAACAUCCCAUGAAGUUUUCCUGACUUAAUUUUGAUUCUAGCUCUGUGUGUGUGGUGGGGAAGAAUCCAAGUUCUAAGGAGUGAGAUCCUUCAUUCUUUCAGCCGCAAAGGCAAAGGAGAGUACAGGAAUGCUGCGGAUGGCACAGGUGAGAACUUACACUUUGGGAACUGGGUUUGGCAGCUACUGGACCGGGAAGAGAACUUUGGGACAGCCAUGAAAACUAUCUUCAGAUGACCAGAAGAUGAAUGAAGUCACCCCACAGCUGCUGGAAGGAGCCAACAGAGGACUGUCAACACAGUGCUUCUGCAAGAGCUGCUAUUGGCUGAAGAGAGCAGCCUGGUCUCCACUACCUCGGCCGGCCUGUCAAUGCGGAAUUAAAGCAACUGUUCACCCCAGAGACCCUUCCCAAUAAGCCUACUACAUAUGUUAGAGAGCCCUCACUGUGACCUUGACAAAGCAAGGUCAUCUGAGGUGAAUAUAACAGCAGUGUAUGAAGAUUCCAGCCGGAUGCGAUGUUUCAGCACUGACUACGCAACUGAUAAGCCGUAUGAACACAUUUGUUUGUUUGAAUGCUGCUGGAGAAAACAUGUAAGAGAAACUACAGCUGUAGAGACACAGCUCUUCUAUUUUUUCCUGCUUUGCUGAAAUACAGUAGAUAAAGCUUGUAUACAUUUAAGAUAUAUACUGAGAUGUGUUGAUAUAAACAUUUGCCAUGAAAAGA